rnacentral:rRNA from 1 species
UACAGAGGUCUCGAGCGUUAGGCGGAAUCACUGGGCUUAAAGCGUGUGUAGGCGGAUCGUUAAGUGCCUUGUGAAAUCCCACGGCUCAACCGUGGAACUGCUGGGCAUACUGCGGGUCUUGGGCCAACUAGGGGCAGCCGGAACAAGCGGUGGAGCGGUGAAAUGCGUAGAUAUCGCUUGGAACGCCGAAGGUGAAAACAGGCUGCUGGGGUUGCGCCGACGCUGAGACACGAAAGCCAGGGGAGCAAACGGG